AUGUGAAACUGAUUUGUGUGGCAAUAUAAAUGAAAUUAAUCAUAACAGACACUCGCAGCUGGCCAGACCCAUGAUAAAAUCCAGUAUAGACAAGUGGAAUGGGAUUCUAGAGUUAAAUGCAAAAUAUAACAGAUACCAGUUUGAAGAAAGAAAUAUAAGCAAUGUGCAUGAAAAAUUACAUCUUUUAUUCAGAGAGCUAUGGAAACAUUUUUGGAUUUUGGAAACUGGAAAUUGAGUGAAGCCAUCUUUCAUGAUCAGUACUACAGAUUGUCAAAUCCUCAUGCCAGACACAGCGUCAAGACCUCACAGCAGGGCAUUGUCAUGGAAGCAAGAAUUACGCAGACUUCAGUAAGGUGUUUUAAUGCAAAGGUUAGGGAUAAAGUAAAGAAGCUUGGAAACUGCA